CCAAACAAGAGGAACUCUCCUCCUCUUUAACUUUAUUUCCUUGAUUAGCUCUAAAAUAAUAAUAACAAUAAGAGCCUGGGUGGACUUCGGGGAAGUUUUAGGGUUGUUUGAAAGGAGAUUUCUCCUCUCUUCCAGGGAGUGAGGGGGACCUAGCUUGCGGCUGGCAGAUUUUUUUCCUGGAUACCAAAAGUUCUGUGAAACAGACCCAAGGGCCCUGGAUGGAGAGUAGAAGAGGGACACUGGCCUCCACAGUUGUUUCCAUGGUUUGCAGGAGGAAAAUUACUGCUUGCAAUUGCAUGCAGAUGCAAUGUACAUUAUUUUAAGGGCUAAGUACCUGUUUACAUAUGCAGAGAAGGAUCCUGAAGAAAGGUACUUGGAUGCUCUUCCAAUCAGAGGACAGUAACAAUGCCAUGUGUCUUAUCCAUCUAAUCAUCACAAAGCAGCAUGGCUUGAAGACAGAAUAUUCACAGUUGAUUUGAAAAGAAGAUUGUCAAAUACCUUUUUGAAUAAUGAAAAUAUCUGGUGCUGUCACAAUCUGCUGACAGAGAUGGUGUGAGCAGGCAAAGAGUUUACAUUCCCUGAAUAAAUCCCUCUUAUAAAUUAUUUUGUGCUAUACUUUGGAUUCCAAGUGUCGAGACCAUUGGGUGCCCAAGAAAAAGGAGUGAUAUCGAUAGAAGAGGAAGCCUAAGAAAAAACAUAACAAAGAGAAUGAAUGAAAAAGCUACAAAGAGGUUUAUUCCAGAAUAUGAAAAUCAAGCUUCUUGCUGUGCACUUCAUACAUCAUCACCAACAAAGCCAGACAUCACAACCCAGCUCAGAUUCCAGAGUGAUUAUUAUCAUGCAUGAUCUAUGGAGCAAAUAAACGAUAGCUUUAUUUUAUAAGGGCGAUCAACUGAUUCGUGCACAUUCGGGAGUUCCUCUUCCCCAAAACAGCCCAGCAUGUCCCGUAGCCACAAGAAUACAAAUAUCCACAAAUGCCCCACUCUUUGGCAAUUCUGCCUCCCUGCCUGAGGCACUGUUCUUGAAUGUGGACUUUCCAGAGGGUCAUAGAUGCUCUGACUUCUCCCAACCCUCUUUAAAAGUAUGCUGAGCCAUACCACAACCGGAAGAAUAUGGAUAAGAUUUUCUGACCAAAGACCUCACUGUGCUACUAACGAAUUAAGCCUCGUAGCACCCUGGGGAACAGUCAAAGUAGGAAUAGAAGAGGGCCUUCACACAACCACAUUUCAGGAGCCGCUAGCAGCAAGAGGAGAAAGAAAUGUGUAUUUCUUCAAGUCAUUUGUAAUGUUGCUUCUCUCUGUCUGUUGCGCAGGCCAUGCUGUUCCAGUUCAGGGACUCUUGCAGCAGAAAAGAUCAGCUGUUGGAGAACCCAUGGAAGGCCCUUGGGGAAGCGCCAUGGCCGCAAGCUGCUAUCAGUGCAUUAAACAGCUGAAAAACUGAAAUUGAUUCAAGGCUGUCCAUGCUCCCUGCCGAAAAAGCCUCUUGCAAGUAUCUAUUCUCCAUUGAAUUACAGUCUGGAAAAGUUCAAUAGGUUAUUGCACAAACAGAUGGGAAAAAACGGUCACCGAUAGAAUGAAAGAUGAUUGUACAGCCUCCCUGUGAGUUUGCUGCCUGAAAACAAACCUCCAGACUCUAACAUUAAAGCAGUUUAAUUAAAAUGUCCAUUCUUUUAAGUGGCCUUAUAGAAAGAAAUAGUUCAAAAUAUUCAAACAUGCCUGACUAAAUCUUAGUCACCUUACUCCAUAGUUAGGUUCCUAAAUCAUUGUAGAUUUUCAUAUGUGCUGAGCAGCGUUCCUUCUAAUUUUUGUCAUCUGUGUGCAGAAUAAAUUUUGUUACAUGCACUGA